UACGAAGGGUGCGAGCGUUAAUCGGAAUUACUGGGCGUAAAGAGCACGUAGGCGGUUUGAUAAGCGGAAUGUGAAAUCCCCGGGCUUAACCUGGGAACUGCAUUCCGAACUGUCAGGCUAGAGUAUGAUAGAGGUGAGCGGAAUUUCCUGUGUAGCGGUGAAAUGCGUAGAUAUAGGGAGGAACAUCAGUUGCGAAGGCGGCUCACUGGAUCAAUACUGACGCUGAGGUGCGAAAGCGUGGGGAGCGAACAGG
rnacentral:rRNA from 1 species